rnacentral:rRNA from 1 species
UACGGAGGGGGCAAGCGUUAUUCGGAAUCAUUGGGCGUAAAGGGCGCGUAGGCGGCCUUGCAAGUCAAAGGUGAAAUCCCUCGGCCUAACCGAGGAACUGCCUUUGAUACUGCAUGGCUCGAGGCCGGGAGAGGGUAGCGGAAUUCCCAGUGUAGCGGUGAAAUGCGUAGAUAUUGGGAGGGACACCAGUGGCGAAGGCGGCUACCUGGACCGGUUCUGACGCUGAUGCGCGAAAGCGUGGGGAGCAAACAGG